GUCCUAGCUGUAAACGAUGAGUACUGGGUAGAGUUGGUCCAAUGCCAGCUCUGCCGGAGCAAAUGUGUUAAGUACUCCGCCUGGGGAGUAUGGUCGCAAGGCUAAAACUCAAAGGAAUUGACGGGGGCUCACACAAGCGGUGGAGCAUGUGGUUUAAUUCGAAGCAACGCGAAGAACCUUACCCGGGUUUGAAAUGCACGGAUUAGGAUGCUGAAAGGUGUCUGACGCCGCAAGGUGGAACGUGCACAGGUGUUGCAUGGCUGUCGU
rnacentral:rRNA from 1 species